GCUCAGAGCGAACGCUGGCGGCAGGCUUAACACAUGCAAGUCGAGCGGACCUUUCGGGGUCAGCGGCGGACGGGUGAGUAACGCGUGGGAACGUGCCUUCCGGUUCGGAAUAACCCUGGGAAACUAGGGCUAAUACCGGAUACGCCCUUAUGGGGAAAGGUUUACUGCCGGAAGAUCGGCCCGCGUCUGAUUAGCUAGUUGGUGGGGUAACGGCCUACCAAGGCGACGAUCAGUAGCUGGUCUGAGAGGAUGAUCAGCCACACUGGGACUGAGACACGGCCCAGACUCCUACGGGAGGCAGCAGUGGGGAAUAUUGGACAAUGGGCGCAAGCCUGAUCCAGCCAUGCCGCGUGAGUGAUGAAGGCCUUAGGGUUGUAAAGCUCUUUUAUCCGGGACGAUAAUGACGGUACCGGAGGAAUAAGCCCCGGCUAACUUCGUGCCAGCAGCCGCGGUAAUACGAAGGGGGCUAGCGUUGCUCGGAAUCACUGGGCGUAAAGGGCGCGUAGGCGGCGUUUUAAGUCGGGGGUGAAAGCCUGUGGCUCAACCACAGAAUGGCCUUCGAUACUGGGACGCUUGAGUAUGGUAGAGGUUGGUGGAACUGCGAGUGUAGAGGUGAAAUUCGUAGAUAUUCGCAAGAACACCGGUGGCGAAGGCGG
rnacentral:rRNA from 1 species